UCCCUGGUAGUAUAUCGGUUAGUACACGCGCCUGUCAUAGAUCUUGAGUCUCUCUCAAACGCGCGAAAGCUGGGUUCGACUCCCAGCCAGGGAG